rnacentral:rRNA from 1 species
UACGGGUGGCAGCAGUUUCGAAUCAUUCACAAUGGGCGAAAGCCUGAUGGUGCAACGCCGCGUGGGGGAUGAAGGCCUUAGGGUUGUAAACCUCUGUCACCAGGGAAGAAACGUAGUUCGUUAAUAGCGGGCUGCCUGACUUAACCUGGAGAGGAAGCAGUGGCUAACUCCGUGCCAGCAGCCGCGGUAAUACGGAGACUGCAAGCGUUAUUCGGAUUCACUGGGCGUAAAGGGUGCGCAGGCGGUUAUGUGUGUCAGGUGUGAAAUCUCGGAGCUCAACUCCGAAACUGCGCCUGAAACUACAUGACUAGAGUAUCGGAGAGGUGAGCGGAAUUCAUGGUGUAGCAGUGAAAUGCGUAGAUAUCAUGAGGAACACCAGAGGCGAAGGCGGCUCACUGGACGAUUACUGACGCUCAGGCACGAAAGCAUGGGUAGCGAAAGGGAUUAGAUACCCCUGUAGUCCAUGCCGUAAACGUUGUACACUAGGUCUUGGAGGAUUCGACCCCUUCAGGGCCCAAGCUAACGCGAUAAGUGUACCGCCUGAGGACUACGGCCGCAAGGCUAAAACUCAAAGGAAUUGACGGGGGCCCGCACAAGCGGUGGAGCAUGUGGCUUAAUUCGAUGCAACGCGAAGAACCUUACCAAACCUUGACAUGUACCAGACCGGCUCUGAAAGGAGCCUUUCCUUCGGGACUGGUACACAGGUGCUGCAUGGCUGUCGUCAGCUCGUGUCGUGAGAUGUUGCGUUAAGUCGCGCAACGAGCGCAACCCCUGUCCUUAGUUGCCAUCAUUAAGUUGGGCACUCUAGGGAGACAAACCCUCUCUGAGGGUGGGAAGGUGGGGACGACGUCAAGUCAGGAUGGCCCUUACGGUUUGGGCUGCACACGUGCUACAAUGCCCGGCACAGAGGGAAGCAAUACCGCGAGGUGGAGCAAAUCCUCAAAACCGGGCCCAGUUCGGAUUGUAGUCUGCAACUCGACUACAUGAAGUUGGAAUCGCUAGUAAUGGCGCAUCAGCUACGGCGCCGUGAAUACGUU